AUUGAACGCUGGCGGCAGGCUUAACACAUGCAAGUCGAGCGGAGCGAGGGUGCUUGCACCUUAGCUUAGCGGCGGACGGGUGAGUAAUGCUUAGGAAUCUGCCUAUUAGUGGGGGACAACAUUCCGAAAGGAAUGCUAAUACCGCAUACGCCCUACGGGGGAAAGCAGGGGAUCUUCGGACCUUGCGCUAAUAGAUGAGCCUAGGUCGGAUUAGCUAGUUGGUGGGGUAAAGGCCUACCAAGGCGACGAUCUGUAGCGGGUCUGAGAGGAUGAUCCGCCACACUGGGACUGAGACACGGCCCAGACUCCUACGGGAGGCAGCAGUGGGGAAUAUUGGACAAUGGGCGGAAGCCUGAUCCAGCCAUGCCGCGUGUGUGAAGCAGGCCUUAUGGUUGUAAAGCACUUUAAGCGAGGAGGAGGCUCUUUUGGUUAAUACCCAAGAUGAGUGGACGUUACUCGCAGAAUAAGCACCGGCUAACUCUGUGCCAGCAGCCGCCGUAAUAC
rnacentral:rRNA from 1 species